CAAGGGUGUUCUAGAAGGCUGCAUGUGUGCCCUGAGGGCACUUAAGUGGGUUCAGGCCUUGUCUCUAACACAAUUUAUGCCACUUUAGAAACAUUUCCUCAAUUUUGAAUAUGGGCAACUAAACCGUUUCCUGCAAUGCCAAGACCCUAGUUUUCCACACAGCACCAAGUGUAUGGGGCCACGGAGGGUUCCAGAUGACAGGAGGUCUGGUUCCUUGGUGAAGGUCUGUCUGUCUGCCUUUGUUCUCUCUCACACCCUCCCUCUCAUUUCUCUCCUUCCACAGGCUUCAGGAAUCCCGCUGGACCUGGUGCUUGGGUGCUGGGUCCUGGGGAUACAAGGGAAGAAGAUGGACCAUGUGAAGGUAGAAUUGAUGCUGGCAUUCCUUGGUGGAUAUGUGACAAGCAUCUGUUGAAGACCUGGUAGGGCAGGAGGGUAAUGAGGAGGGAGGCUGGGACUGCUGAGCCAUGAAAAGCAGGGACUAUCUGCAGACAGAUUAAGGCAAGGGUGCCCUUCAUGCUCAGCAAAGCAGAGACCAGGCAAGGCUCUGAGAGGCCAUCAAGGCAGUGCAGAGUGCUCUGCAAAGAGAUGUGAAGCCGGAGGGGAUGGCUCGUUCUGAAAGCGUCCAAGAAUCGCACCAAGCUUGGCAGUGGAGAGCUUGACUUUCUCGUGAUCUAGAAGGAUGAGCAACUUGGUUUAAUGUCUUCCCUGGGUCACAGGUGAGCCUGGAAACUAGGAGCUGAGUGCCCUGUGUGCUGUCUUAUGUCAUGUGAUGGUAGAAUUCUGGGCCAUGUGAUCUGCCUGCGUCUGUGCUUUGGUAUGUUACUUUCCUUU
rnacentral:lncRNA from 1 species